rnacentral:lncRNA from 1 species
CCCUUUUUUCUCUAGUCUUCAAAAAAUUAACCCCUUUUUUCUCUAAUCUUAUUUUUUUGCCCGUUAUUCUCUAAUCUUCAUUUUUUAAGGGCAUUAUUCUUUAAUCAUUUAACCCCAUCCAAACCCUCUUGUAUAACAUGUUAUGAUAGCUAUUAUGGUUGGUAUGUAAGUCAUACAGGAUAACGUUGGGUAUAUGACAGACAAUCUUAAAGAAUUAUUAUAGUCGUCUUUUUAAUAACAUGAUAUGCAAAUAAACUGUUUAAC